GCCUACCAUGAAGCUGGAAUUGCUAGUAAUCACAGGUCAGCAUACUGUGGUGAAUACGUUCCCGGGCCUUGUACACACCGCCCGUCACACCAUGAGAGUUGAGAAUACCCGAAGCCCAUGUCAAAGUGGUCGAAGGUAGGCUUGAUGAUUGGGGUGAAGUCGUAACAAGGUAGC
rnacentral:rRNA from 1 species